CAUUUCCAGGCACCUGCGGAGCACUAGGCAGUGUGCGGAAGCUGCAGGGCAGGCAGGACGAGGGGGCAGUCUGGAGGGGGGUGGACACACAGCUGUCCCCAGGGAGCCCAGCGCGGUGCCGGUCACAUGCCGUGGGAGUGGAGGGUCUUGAGCAGACGCCUCCCUUGGAGAAGAGCCACCAUCUCACCUUCCCACGCAACAAAUUAUCUAUUACCAGCACCCGAUGAGGCCGUCCCUCCCAAAUUCCACAGUGCCCACCACUCGCACUACCCCCCCCGUGCCACAGAAGCAGUGUCAGCAGCCUCGCCACGGUCUUCACGUCAUGCAGAAAUGGUCAUUCCAUGUUCUAUGGCCACCAGAUUCUGCUGAGAGUGUCGGGAUCCUUGACUGCCCAGCCACACCUUGUGUGUGUCUGGUGUAGUGUGUAGUUUACGAAACAAACGGAAAAGCUCAAAGACAGCGAUCCAAGACAUGAUCAGCAAUUUGGUCCCAAAUUAGGAGAGGAGGAAGAGGAGUAUCAAUUUUGUCACCAAAAUGUUAAAAAAAAUGUCCUUGGCGCUCUUUUUAGCUUUCCCGUUUACUACCAGUCCAGACAUGCAAAAAAACCUUGUUUAUUGAAAAAUAAACAACAAGGGCUAGA
rnacentral:lncRNA from 1 species